AGUAACGCGUGGGUAACCUGCCUUUUGUGGGGAACAACUUCGAGAAAUCGGAGCUAAUACCGCAUAAUAAUAGAGGAUCGCAUGAUUCUUUAAGGAAAGAUGGCCUCUGAAAAUGCUAUCGCAAAAGGAUGGACCCGCGUCUGAUUAGCUAGUUGGAAGGGUAACGGCCUACCAAGGCAACGAUCAGUAGCCGGCCUGAGAGGGUGAACGGCCGCAUUGGGACUGAGACACGGCCCAAACUCCUACGGAAGGCAGCAG
rnacentral:rRNA from 1 species